rnacentral:rRNA from 1 species
GACGUAGGGCGCGAGCGUUGUCCGGAUUUAUUGGGCGUAAAGAGCUCGUAGGCGGCUUGUUGCGUCGACCGUGAAAACCCGGGGCUCAACUUCGGGCUUGCGGUCGAUACGGGCGGGCUAGAGUUCGGUAGGGGAGACUGGAAUUCUUGGUGUAGCGGUGAAAUGCGCAGAUAUCAGGAGGAACACCGGUGGCGAAGGCGGGUCUCUGGGCCGAUACUGACGCUGAGGAGCGAAAGCGUGGGGAGCGAACAGG